GAGGUAGAAUAAUUCAGUUCAGAUCUGUAAAUAUAGAUGCCACGUAUUUUUAUUUGAUUUUUCCUUCUCACUUCACUUCCUCUUCCUCUUCUUCUUCUUCAUUUCUUUUUCGUCUUUGCUUAGCCUUUCAUUCGCGUGUGUGGGACCGGUUCAGCUAAGGGAGGUAUGAUCAGGGCCGAAAGUUUGUUGCAUUAGCAGGCUGUUGACCGGUGAGGGUGUUGAGAGAUGGCAUGGAUCGUGGGUAUUGCUGUGAGCGAAACAGCCUAGAAUUGGCAAUCGAGGUGAGGAAUCAUUCCAUUGGUUCUCGUUGUUCAUAACAGGUUAGGAAGGAGCGACGAGAUCGAUUUUUUUAUAAACUUGCAGACCAAGAAUGAGGGAGACGCAGGUUGUAUCCACGAUUUGGGUGGUAGCUCUAUCACAGAGAGGAUAUGUGAUAGCUGAGUGAGAAUCUUAUUCUUUUGCCUUGUGACUGAAGAUCGAGAGGCCGGACUGAGUAGUUGUUUAUUUAGCACCUGUGCGAAAUCACAUAGAGAUAGAGCAUCGCGAGGAUUGUUUGGCUUGGAACCGGCUUUAUUUUUCAUUCUCGAAGGUCUUUUCUACUUUUUUUUUUCACGAAUUGUUGGAAACGGCAGAGAGAAAAUGCAGACUAGAGCGUCUACAACUUCUCUGGCUGUUGAGUCUGUUGUAGGAAACGGCCCAAUUUUGAGAAAUGCAGCAGGGGGAAAGGCGUUGAAGGAGUGGCCUUCAAAGCUCUCCAGGAUAUUCUGUUUGUUCAUCGCACUAGGCGCUAGUUUAGUGGUAGGGGUGAUAUGCAGCCUUCACGUAACGGGAGUCUUAAGCACAGGAUCCAUGCUUUCAUCGUAUGUUUCUGGAGCUCAACAACGCGUUCACCGGCACAUAAUGGCCCCUGACGAUUCGCAGGCUUUGUGUCACGGCAUGGAAGACAAGGAGCUUCUCUGGAGAGCGUCUAUGGUGCCGACGCGGCCAGGGAUGCCCCUCAAACGCAUCCGGAAAGUCGCUUUCAUGUUUUUGACUGUCGGGCCUUUGCCUCUAGCUCCGCUGUGGGAGAAAUUCUUCAAAGGUCACCAAGAUCUUUACAACAUAUACAUCCACUCUCUUCCUGAAUACGAACCCAACGAGCGGCCGUCUUCUGUAUUCUAUGGUCGUCGCGUCUUAAGCCAGGAGGUGAAAUGGGGUGAUAUUUCAAUGAACGAUGCUGAGAGGCGGUUGUUAGCGAACGCACUACUCGAUUUGGACAACGAGCGGUUUGUCCUUCUCUCUGAGAGUUGCGCACCAAUCUGGAACUUUACAUUUACCUAUCAGUAUCUGAUGAACUCCAACCAAAGUUUUGUAGGUGUUUUUGACGACCCGGGACCCGUGGGCAGAGGAAGAUACGACCCACGUAUGGAACCAGAGGUCACCAUUGACCAAUGGAGGAAAGGGGCUCAGUGGUUCGAGGUGAACCGGGAGUUGGCCGUCUACAUCAUCGCCGACGUGAAGUACUACGAAAAAUUUCGCCAGUUUUGUCUGGGAGUAUGCUACGCAGACGAGCAUUAUAUUCCAACAAUGAUGUUCAUAGAAUUCAAGGACAAGAUAGCGCAGAGAAGUGUCACAGCGAUGAAUUGGUCAAGAGGAGGUUCCCAUCCGGGCAUCUUUGGGAGACACAACGCGGCAAGCUUCUACAAAACUAUCCGCAGUGACCAGUCAUGCACAUAUAACGGAGCUCCUGGCCAUGCGUGCUACUUGUUUGCUAGAAAAUUCAGCCCCGACAGCUUGCAGGCCUUACUACACUCUGCCACAUUGCGCAAGUUAUAGCCUGUUUGUCCAAAACAACACGUAGACGUCGAGCUUAGGGUUGUACCUCCCGUCCCGCCUUCGCUUUCUCCAACCUCCACUAAAUCCCGAAUGAGAAAUGGCACGCGCUAGAUCCGAACGGCUACUAAGUGAUCAUAGACCUCUUUAGCAAUGGCCAGCUUAGACUCAAGCUACCAGAGACAUGAGCAUCAAAUCUUUCGAGGGAUGUACGUGAUGCUUGUGAAGAGUGGGCGGGAUUGUCGACCCAGCAAGAUGUGAUUCUCCAGGAGAACAGUUCACGGCGCUCCCUGGAUUCACAUCCAAAUGCAGAUAAACAGCUAUUACUUAUUUUAAGUGCAACCGAUGAAACUCAGCAUCGAAGAAUCACGCAGUGCUAGUCACGCGGUGCGAUCAGGUUCUCCAAGAGUGUACAGAGGUCCAAACAACGCACAGACAUGCAAGAAUAAUGCACCCCCAUGAAGUAGCUCAGCUCUUCCUUCCUUGCUUGCUGUCAAUAGCUAUGCCCCCACCCAGCUCUUCAAAAUGGGAUUCCAGUACUGUUGCUGUUCACAUCAUGUAUCCUGGCGUGUAUUCCUAGAUUGCAAUUAUUUGAAUAAGACGUGCCUCGGAUUCAUAUUCCUUUAUGUGUGUUGCAAGUAGAAAGUGAGGGAGGUUUUCAUUCCACACUGUACUCAGCUUUGCCUUUUUUUUUCUUUUUUUUUUCUUUCUUUCUAUCUCUCUUUCUCGUGCCAGGAUAUUCGCUCAGAUUUCUUCACACUCUUGUUCGUGUGAUUUUUUAAACUGUCCAUCACUUGUUGCAUA